rnacentral:rRNA from 1 species
GACGAACGCUGGCGGCGUGCCUAAUACAUGCAAGUCGAGCGAGACUCUUCGGAGUCUAGCGGCGGACGGGUGAGUAACACGUGGGCAACCUGCCUGUAAGACUGGGAUAACACCGGGAAACCGGUGCUAAUACCGGAUAAUCCUUUUCCUCUCAUGAGGAAAAGCUGAAAGACGGUUUCGGCUGUCACUUACAGAUGGGCCCGCGGCGCAUUAGCUAGUUGGUGAGGUAACGGCUCACCAAGGCGACGAUGCGUAGCCGACCUGAGAGGGUGAUCGGCCACACUGGGAAUGAGACACGGCCCAGACUCCUACGGGAGGCAGCAGUAGGGAAUCUUCCACAAUGGACGAAAGUCUGAUGGAGCAACACCGCGUGAGCGAUGAAGGCCUUCGGGUCGUAAAGCUCUGUUGUUAGGGAAGAACAAGUACCGGAGUAACUGCCGGUACCUUGACGGUACCUAACCAGAAAGCCACGGCUAACUACGUGCCAGCCGCCGCCGUAA